rnacentral:tRNA from 1 species
GCCGGAGUAGCUCAGUGGUAGAGCAUCGCAUUCGUAAUGCGAGGGUCGCGGGUUCGAAUCCCGCCUUCGGCU